GACAGGUGAUUGAAGACUUUGCUAAGUUCGAUUUACUGCUUAAACUAAGGAGGAGAGGAGGGAAGGUGGAGAAAUACAAGGUGGAAGUUCACAAAAAUGUGGGAGGGAUUUUUAGUCUGAAUCAAUUCCUGGAGGGGUAUUAGCUCCUUUGUCUUUGUUGUUGUUACUAGCAGACUUUUACUAAUGAGCUGUUUAAUAACUAAUCACAACUUAAUGGUGGAGAAAUACAAGGGGAAGUUCACAAAAAUGUGGGAGGGAUUUUUAGUCUGAAUCAAUUCCUGGAGGGGUAUUAGCUCCUUUGUCUUUGUUGUUGUUACUAGCAGACUUUUACUAAUGAGCUGUUUAAUAACUAAUCACAA